GGUUUUAUAGUCAAUUAUGAUUUUGAAUUGCAAAUUCAAAGGUAAAAAUUAUUUUUAAAGCCU
rnacentral:tRNA from 1 species